rnacentral:piRNA from 1 species
UUUUCUUACGCGGAAAGCAGA